GAGUUCCACUGAAGGCAGUGGAGUUACACAGAUUUACAGCACCUGAUGCUGAUGUGGUCCAGUGUCACUUGGAGACAGGCUCAAACCAGAAAAUGUGGAUCCAGGUUUCAGACACCAGCAAAUUAUGAUACUACUUAGUCCUGCCAUGAGUGCAGGGGACUGGACUAGAUGACCCUCAUGGUCCCUUCCAGUCCUAUAAUUCUAUGAUUCUAUUCCACAAGGAGCUGAAACACCAGAUUUAUCAUAAUUAUACUCCAGACUGGCUUUGAGAAAACCAGCCAUAUUACAGCCACUUUGCAUCAAUCUUCACAGUCCCACGGCCAUCAUUUCCAGCAUGAUUGCUAAACAUACUGCAUCCCAGGGGCAUUCCUGUGGCUCCCAUAGAUUUCAUUAUGAGUGGCACGGGAACAUCUGAGGGCAGCUGAGUACAGAACAAAGCGAAAGCACCAGAAAUGCUGGCUAGAGAACAAGCAAGUACAGUUGUAAAAAAAGGUUUUGAAAUAAAAUAUUACAAUGAGAUUUUUAACUGAAAUAUCAACCAGAACAACUACAAA